rnacentral:lncRNA from 1 species
UUCAUAGUGGCUUUUUGUUGUCAGGCCUUUUCUCAAACAACAGGUUCAUGGCCAGGGUGGUGCGAUUUGGGGAAGUUUUAAAAAGAGCAUCCUGGCGCUAAACAUCGGGAUGGGUGGGUACCACUGCCGUAGGACGGAAGAGAAGGGCCUGGGGUGCGCCUCCCUCAGUUACGGAAGCCACGGAGGAACAAAUUCAAUCCUACCUGGCCCUUUGCUUCCGGAGGAUGGCGCUCGUUUUCCAAACGCACAGAGUUGAAUUUGCAUAUGCUAAAUGCGGGACACCUGUGGAAGAGGAAAAGAUCAUACCAGGAUCCAGGAAUGGCAAAUACACAGCUGGUCCGUCAUUCUCCACGCCCCUGCCUGUGGCAGACAUUACCAAUCAAUCAUAGCACUCUUUUCCGAAAACCAUGCCUACAGCCACUACCAAUGGAUUGCACCGGAGACAUCCAAGCUAAAAAAGACUUUCUGCCUCUGCUAGGUAAAGAAGGAUACACUGAGAAGAGCAUUGGAAUGUCGCCACCACCAUAUCCUUUUCCGGAAACCUCUUCAGGACUCCAAAUCCCAUUUGCCCAAGGGUUUGGAAGAGAGGAGCGAGAAGUUGGCUUUGCUUUCUAGAAGCAAUGUGGUUUGAAAACUUGUCUGUCUCUGAAUAUGUUGGAAACGAACACAUUGAAUGAAUUCUCCCUCUUUCUUAAUAGAACCCGAAUCCAUAGCUUUUAAGCAAGGUGCAGAUCUGUUUUUAUUUAUUUGCAAUUUUCCUUUUGAAACCAUAUAAAAUCUACUGCCCCUCCCCCCAAAAAAACUCCUACAACUACUGCUUUUUUUCUUGAAUUCCCAGUUAUUACUACAGGGAUUUUUUUUUAUAAGUUCUCAAUGCUGCUUUAUCCGUGAGGCCUCAGUCUAAGGUGAAGUUUUGGAAACGAUCUAGAACCCAAAUUAACUCUACCAUUUUAUAACUUGCCCAGUCAGACGCAAAAAAAAAAAAAAAAGUCCAUGAUUUUCAAGUACUUUCUACACUUGAGACUAAAAACAGCAAUUAAAUUUUUUUUUUCUUUAAGCAAAUGCAAUUCUCUGGAUAUUUACUGUAAGAGGAUUUUAGUCAUUGGAGACAUUUUAAAAAAAGAUCUCAAGCGAGAAUCUUUCUUCGCAUUUUUUUCAAAAGGAUAUUUACUCUGGAAAAUGCUACAUUUAGAAAAGUUGUGCCUUCAAUGACAACUGGCCCGCUAAGUUUUACUGUUUUUUUGAGGGGGAGGGUGGGGCGGAGGAGGUUGGAGACUGCGUGAAGGCAGCUCUGUUCACCCACCAGCCAAGCAGGAUUUUGGAGCUCAUUUUCAUCCGUUUAUUUUCAUUUAUUCGUUCAUUUAUUCAAUCAAUCAACAAACGCAUAUUGAGGGUCUGCCAUAUACAGAGCACUGUGCUAGACGAAGAGAUUAUAGCCAUGAAUAAAACAUUUUCUUCAACCCCA